CUUACGGGAGGCAGCAGUCGAGAAUCUCGCAUUGGCGCAAGCCCGACCGAGGGACGUCGCGUGAGACGAAGCGUCGGUUGUAAACUCCUGUCGGGGGGACAGGGCCGGCGAAGAGCGGACUUGAGGUGAUCCCCGGAGGAAGCACGGGCUAAGUUCGUGCCAGCAGCCGCGGUAAGACGAACCGUGCGAACGUUAUCGGAAUCACUGGGCUUAAAGGGCGCGUAGACGGGCGACCGCGUCGACGGCUGAAAGCCCCCGGCUCAACCGGGGAACGGGCCUCGAUACGGGCCGCCUCGAGUGGAGGAGGGGGACCUGGAACUGCCGGUGGAGCGGUGAAAUGCGUUGAGAUCGGCAGGAACGCCUGUGGCGAAAGCGAGGUCCUGGACUCCCACUGACGUUGAGGCGCGAAAGCCAGGGGAGCGAACGGGAUUAGAUACCCCGGUAGUCCUGGCCGUAAACCAUGGGCACUGGGCGGUGGGCUCGCCGAUGGGCACACCGCCGCAGCGAAAGCGUUAAGUGCCCCGCCUGGGGAGUAUGGUCGCAAGGCUGAAACUCAAAGGAAUUAACGGGGGCUCACACAAGCGGUGGAGCAUGUGGCUUAAUUCGAGGCUACGCGCAAAACCUUAUCCCGGGCUUGACAUGCACGGAUUAGCCGGCGGAAACGUCGGUGACGCCGCAAGGUGGAACGUGCACAGGUGCUGCAUGGCUGUCGUCAGCUCGUGUCGCGAGAUGUUGGGUUCAGUCCCAUAACGAGCGAAACCCCUGUGGCCAGUUGCCAGCGCGUCAGGGCGGGCACUCUGGCCAGACUGCCGGCGUCAAGCCGGAGGAAGGCGGGGACGACGUCAAGUCCUCAUGGCCCUUAUGCCCGGGGCCGCACACGUGCUACAAUGGGCCGGACAGAGCGCCGCGACGCCGCAAGGCCGAGCCAAUCGCAAAAACCGGCCCCCAGUUCGGAUUGCGGGCUGCAAUUCGCCCGCAUGAAGCCGGAAUCGCUAGUAAUCGCGGAUCAGCACUGCCGCGGUGAAUACGUUCCCGGG
rnacentral:rRNA from 1 species